rnacentral:rRNA from 1 species
UACGGAGGGUGCAAGCGUUAUCCGGAUUCACUGGGUUUAAAGGGUGCGUAGGUGGGUUGGUAAGUCAGAGGUGAAAGCCCGGAGCUCAACUCCAGAACUGCCUUUAAGACUGCAUCGCUUGAAUCCAGGAGAGGUGAGUGGAAUUCCGAGUGUAGAGGUGAAAUUCGUAGAUAUUCGGAAGAACACCAGUGGCGAAGGCGGCUCACUGGACUGGUAUUGACGCUGAGGUGCGAAAGCGUGGGGAGCAAACAGG